GUGGAAACUUGUAGACUCUAUCCAUGCUAUUAUGACGUUCGUGAAUGAUGUUUGUGAUGUCAAUUUAUUAGCUUUCAGGCAGAACCACAUGGAAACUUGAAAACUGUGUCCAUGCUAUUUUGAUGUAUGUGAUGUCAAUUAUUUGCUUUGUGUAAAUGAUUUUUUGAACGCACCUUCAAUGAAUUCAAGUGAAGGAAUACAAUCCAGCCCAUCAAGAAGGCCAGGCAGAAGCCGCAGUAGAAGCUGAAGUCCUAGAAGGAACAAAAGGUAUUUUUCAAUUUGAAGUAUAUUUGCUUGAUAUCUAAGAUAGGCUUUAUUUUUUCAUUCAAGUAAUAUAUAUAUUCCUUGUGCAGCAAAUCAAUGGAUCGAUCUAUUUCAAGAUCACCAUCAAAAUCUCAUGUUAAACUAUCUAGGCAUUCGAGAAUGAACUUCUUCUAAUUUUAUAAUAUGCUUUCGAAUAUAAAUAUAUUGCCAAAAAUCAGUAAUCAAUUCUUUGCUUGCUUAAAUAUGCAAAUUUGGAUGAAGGUUAAUAUCAAUGCCACCAUUGGCAUCUACUUACCUAUUAAACUGUUCGUGCUCAACUAAAAAUUUGAGAAAUUAAAUCCAAAGCAGAGCAAGGUGAAAUAAUGGUUUAAGAAAUAUGUUGUGACAUUAAGAGAUUGGAUUUUCCGAAGAAGCACAUAGCUACAACUAUUGCCCUUCAUCGUCUUACCAUGCUAGGUUAGUCCUUUUAAUCCGAAAUUUGGACAUGAUAAUUUUGUUGUGGUUAAGCUUGUAAUUCUACUUCAGCUGGGUUUUGUUGCUCAUUGAACUGCACCGUGCUUGAAAAUAACUCUUUUAUUGAUGGACAUGUUCUCUUGAAUGUUUAGUUAAUUCAUUUGGCUUGGGUGUCUUUUUGAGAAAUUUUAUAUUCUCGAUGCCAAACUCAAUUUCUUUGACAAGAACAAACAGGAGUAUGAUCGAAAUUUUGCAAGGCACCAUAAUCUCGAAAAAGUAAAUUAAUCCAGUGACAAACCAAUCAAUUAUUGAAGUAUGUUAUUUUAGUAAGUAAAUGUUGAUUCUUUGCUAUAAAUAAAUCUUCCAUUCUACAAAGAUUCGCUCUCAGAUAGACCUCGACUUAUAUUGGUACUGAGGACUUCAUUGAAGGAAGAGCGAGCGCUGCCAAUAUGCUGAUAAACAUGCAUAAUAAUUAUAUUAUCUGGCUGUCAAAUUUUUAUAGAUCUCUCAUUCUUUUGACCCUUAGUUGUUACUUGGGUUAAUUUCUCGACUUAUAAAGGUUAGUACCCUUACUCUUUAUUAAAUCUCUUUCACUAUUAUCAUCGACCUAAAAAAUAUUAACCAAAAGUAAACCCUAACGUAAUCCUUUCUCCUUACACACACGCACACAUGUAUGUACACAUAAAACUUGGCAACGUGUUGUGUCAUGUUUUCUGUAUGGCUGUUCGUGUUCUCACCUCAUUCACAUUUUAUUUCUGUUCGUUUUUAUUGGUACGCAAUUUUUCAUUUACCCGAUGCACUAUGACGUCAUUUUUCAGAACAAGCAGUGAUUAUUGAAACCUAGGUGGUUUUGAGAAUAACUUAAUGUUUGGCAAACUAUUUAUGCUGAAGGUUCAUGUUGUAGUAAAUUUACAAUGUGCGUUGUGUCAGAACUUGACAUGAGAUGUAGUUUGAUUGCUUGGGCUUGGAUCCUUCAAGCAAGCCAGUGUUCUUUAUGAGCUAUGGGGUAACAUUUGAAAAGUAAAUGGACUAUGACAUGAUUUUUCAGAGUAGACAAGCAGUGAUUUCUGAUGUUAGGCAAACUAUCUAUGCUGAACGUUCACGUUGUAGAAAAUUUACAAUGUGCGUUGUGUAAGAACUUUGACAUGAGAUGUAGUUUGAUUGCUUGGGCUUGGAUCCUCCAAACAAGCCAGUGUUCUUUAUGAGCUACGGGGUAACAUUUGAAAAUGGCUCCAAUACCUUUGAAGUUAAGCGAUAGAAAAAGGCUUGUGAUGGUUUGUAAUUAGAUUAAUGUAUAGUGAUUUGAAGAAUCAAUAUUUCACUGUGGCUUGGAGGAUUUUAUACAAAACAAAAUUUAAACAAUGAAGAUUGAGCAACUUUAAUGGACAAUAUAAUUGAAGGAGGAAACAAUAAUUUAUUCAAAAAUUGACAAUGUAGGCGGUUGUAUUACAAUUAAUUGGAAGAUUUUUUCUUACUCCAUUUUGAUUCCUUUGGUAGUUUCUAUUGCUAGUGAAAAUUGUGGUGCAUAUUCAUAAUUUUAGAUAUCUUACACCAUUUUGAAUUCUUCAGUAGCUUACUUUGUCAUGAAUUGUGGUAGCUUCCCAAAUUUUACAUGGUGGUAGCUGUGUAAAAUGAGAAGUGCUACACGUACAGCACAUCCGACAGCAUAGUUGAUAGCAUUCUUACAUACAGGACCGCCCGCAAAGUUUGUGAGAGGGUUGUAUGCUUUUACAGCACAAGUAUCAUUUCCUAUGUAAAAUUGUGGUUUCUCACAAAAUAAAUUGUGAUUGAAAUAUUAUUGAGGUAAUUUAGAUCAUUCUGUAAAUUGAUGAAAAGGAUAUGAAAUCCAUUUCAUCUUAUAUACACCCUUAAAUUUCAACAUUAAUAGUGUUGUGAUAGUAGAUUUAACUUUCUAUUUUUUUUGCAUGACCCUUUUCUUUAUUCUUUGAACACUUCUUGUUUGUUCUCUUCAUUUCUCUUAAAAAUUCGUGUUCGUAGAAAUGGCUUUGUCUGUCUCUGCAAUUGGUUUUGAAAAGAGGGUCGAAAUCUCUUUUUUUUUUUUUUUAGAAGAGUAACUUUCUUGAUCUUGAAAAUAAUGGUCUUCAAUCACUUUUCAACGCACAAUUGGAAGAUAUUCUUGAACCUGCUAAGUGCACCUUUGUUUAUUCACUUUCGAAUGAAUCUGUUGAGUCAUACGUACUCUCUGAGCUGAGCCUUUGUUUAUCUUUACAAGAUAAUCAUCAAAACAUUUUUGUUGUUUCUCGGAAUUGUCCAUAGCAUAAGCUUUUCUACGUGAACCAAUUUUCCCAAAAUUGCUAUCUAAGACAAAAACUUCUUCCGAGAAGUUACAAUGGGGAUAAAACUGGGUUCCUGGGAAAAUAAAGCUUCCACAAGUAUGUCUCACAACUCGCAAUAAAAGAGAAAGGGUGCCAGCCAACUUCAGUAUUGGUGGAUUCAAUCAUGGCAACUUUAUUGUCCCACUGGUUUUGUUGUUUCUCAGAACUGCCCAUAACAUAAGCUUUGCUGCUUGAACCAAGUUCUCCAAAAUAGCUGUUUAGGACAGCGACUUCUGUUGAGAAGUUACAGUGGGGAUAAAACUGAGGUCCAAGGAAAAUGAAGCUUCCACACUUAUAUCUUGCAACUUGUAAUAAAAGAGAGGGAGCUAGGCAACUUCAGUACUGGUAGAUUUGAUCAUAGCAACUUCAUUAUCCUAAGGGUUUUGAUGAUUAUCUUCUAAGGAUAAACAAAGAGACUCGACUGAGAGAGGACGUAUGAAUCAAUAGAUUCACUCGAAAGUGAAGAAAUAAUGGUGUACUUGGCAAGUUCAAGAAUCUCUUCCAAUUGUACUUUGGAAAGUGAUCGAAGACCCUUCCCUUCAGGAUCAACAAAGAUGUUCGUCUCAGAAAAUGAGAUUUCGAGCUCUUUUCAAAACCAAUUGUAUCGACGGACAAUGCCAUUCCUAGGAACACUAAUUUUCAAGAGAAUUGAAGAGAACAAACAAAAAAGCAGUCUAAGAAUGGAGAAAAGGAGCUCGUAAAAAAAUAAGAAGUUAAAUUUACUAUCACUACACUAAUAAUGUUGGAGUUUUAAGGGUUUAUAUAAGAUGAAAUUCGUGAAUUGGUUUCAUAUCCUUUUCAUCAAUUCACAGAAUGAUGUGUACUAUCUUUGUAAUAUUCUGGUCAAUAUUCAUUUCGAAAAGCUAGCACAAUUUUAUAUAGCUACCACCUUGUGAAAAAUUUUGGGAAGCUACACAAUUUUCACGAUGAAGGAAGCUAAUAAAUGAUUCAAAAUGGUGUAAGAUUAUGUUAUGGACCACAAUUUUCAUCUAUAAUGGAAGCUACCAAAGGAUUCAAAAUGGUGUAAGAAAAAGCUUCCAAUUAAUUGUAAUACAAUAGCUUGCAUUGUCCACUUCUAAUUUUUGAAUAAAUUAUUGUUUCCUUCUUCAACUGUAUUGUCCAUUAAGAUUUCUCAAUUUUCAUUGCUUUUAUUUAUAUAAAAUCCACCAAACCAUAGUGAAAUAUUGAUUCUUCAAAUCGCCAUGUAUAAAUCUAAUUACAAACUUUAAACAUUUAUAAUCACGAACUAUGACAUCGUACAACACAUUUAGCUAGUUAGACAUGUGUAUGAUUAUAUUUGCCAAACAAAUUUCCAUAUGAGAACAUUUAUAUUAUACUAAAUUUUAAGGUCGGUUUAUCAAUUUUCUUACUUUUUUAUAUGAUUAUUUGCUAUAUUUUAUUGGUAGUUGUGUUAAUUUUAGUUUAUUUGCGUCUCAAUUUCUUGGUCAGGUCACUCAAUUAAUUAUUUACAUUUUUAUUUUUAUUUUUGAAUUUGCCUGUUAAUUGCUAGAAUGAUUUGAUGACUUAUUUAAAUAGCUGUUUUGAAAAUCGGACCAAGUCUUUAAACAUAUUACUUUAGCAAAAAUUGAAAGCAAAUAAGUACAAGGUUUUCGUGUUAGUUAUUCAAAUAUCUAAAAUUAUUUUUGAGUUUGCAUUUCCUAUUGGUCGAGAUUCUUAAUUCUUUUAGGAGUUAUCUUGAGUGAAAAUAUGGAUGAGACAGCGGUUUGCUUUAAAAACUGGUUGCAUAGAAAGAAAAAUAUAAUAAUUUGUCAAUAUUUUGAUGAUGUAGAAGUAUUGAAAAAUUCACAAAAUAUUAUAAAAGGCACUUUCGUAAUUGAUCUUUCUAUCCAUUUUCUUUUAUUAGUAAUUUUGUAUGAUUUAAUUAUAAUCAAUGAAAUCGUGUACUAUAUUCUUAUUUUUCUGGAGAAUGAAUCAUGUGUUACAAUUCCAGAUGUUGCUCCAAUUAGU
rnacentral:lncRNA from 1 species